ensembl:lncRNA
UGGCAGGGCAAGGUGCUGUUCUAGGAAAUGUGGGCUGGAGUGCAGUCCGCCAUGGAUGAAAGGGGUGUAUCAUUGAUCUGUGCUCGUGUCUCCUUCUGAGAAAUGGGAUCCAGCCCUUCCUGCAGCGGGGACCCUGUGAGCUUCAGAGCCUCAAGUGCAAACCCGCAGGACACGAAUCGGCAGAUUUAAGUCACCCCCAAAAUGCUCCGACCUGAUCGUCCCCUCCUCAUCCUCCUCCCCAAGAAAGCUUAAUUUUAAAGGUGAUUUCAUCUCCAGCUUGCCGAGACAACGUAACUCAUUAGCUUAUACAGCUUUCUAGUACCCCUCGGAAUGAUCUUUAAAUGAAUGCAGAACUGCAUAGCUUGCCAAUAGAAUCGAAUUCAACGCGGCCAGGCAGACUGGACUCCGAGAGGUAGCUAAAGAAAGCAACACCAGAAAACUUGCACCAUAUUUAGCAGUUUUACUACAGCGGGAUACAGAAACGGCCCUGGAGGAGCGCGGCUGGAAGCCACUCGGAGCCUCGUUAGCGUCUGGCCCCAGCUCCAGCCCCAGCCCCACUGCUGUGGGACGAGAGGCUGGCUGGACUAGACACACAGUGUCCUUGGGCAAAGCAGAGGAGGGUGUCAGGAUCGCAGAGUGUCCAAGAAUCACAAGCAAUAAUGUGCGAAUCCCAAAGAUGUUUGUUUACCUUGGCUAUUAUUGUAGAAUAGUCAGAGUAUAACAUCAUGAACCAAAACAAUGUCAAAACAAAAUCUGUUCUGCUGUGGCACGUAUGUGACAGAGAAACAUGCACCCAAAGUACAUCAAAAGGCUCGAACUCUGGGGACUCGGAUGGUGAGUCAUUCCCAGGCUUGAUAUCAGAGGCCACCUCAAUCAUCAGACUUUAUCGAGAAGCCAGGGCCCAGGGAAGGUCUUGGUGGCCGAGCCCUCAGCCUUCCUCCAAGCUCAAGCAUCUGGGCUUUAUGGAGUGACACCCACUUCAGUGCCACAGCUGCCUCCCAGAGAAAGCCCAGGGCACUUGGCUGUCACACCGAGGUCAGCCUGGCCCACCACGGAGGACUUAAUCAUUAAUUGAAGGAAAAAGUACUGUUUCACCCCCUAGGGCUUUUUUUUUCCAUCUCUGGCCUUCUUCCUGUCUUAAAUACAAAGGACGUGGAGAUGGAGAAAA